rnacentral:misc_RNA from 1 species
UCAUGAUGAUGCCAACAAAUUGGUUUUAGCUCUGCUGGAGCAGUUUGACAAUUUCGUACCACAAGAGCUCGCAACUUCCGCUCAUAGUUCUCCAAUGAGUAUGAGCAAUGUAGAUUUGUUACCUGCAAGUAGUGGGUACAGUGAUGGAGGAGGAGAUGCUGCCGAGAAACGAGCUAUUGCCUCAUUCGAAGAGGAGCCCAUCGAAAGGAUUGAGAAACAAGAAAUAGCAUUGAAAUUGAUAGGAAAUGUCCUGGAAAAAGUCACUAUUGAUGCAAAUCUACUGGAAAGUGUCAGAGGUAUUGUAAAGCAGCAAUUUCAGUCAAUGGUAACAUUCUUAAAGAUAAGGAAGCGUGACUGGUCCGAACAAGGGCAGUCACUGAAAGUUAGGAUCAACGCCAAGCUUGCUGCUUAUCAAGCAGCUGCCAGGUUGCAGAUUAAAGCCCUCGCUUCCCUUGAUUUGGAUGGAAAAUCAUCAAAAAAAUUGUUGCAG